ACUGUAAGUAAUGCUCCCUGAUAAUCCCCUGUUGGUUGGGGCUUGUGACUGGGCAGAAUGGAGGUCAGGACUGAGAGUUGAGUAUGAGCUCUUGAGAGAGAAGCCGGAGGUAAGAGUCACCAUACAGAGACCUUUUAGUUUUUGUUUUUUUGAGACAGGGUUUCUCUGUAUAGCCCUGGCUGUCCUGGCACUCACUCUGUAGACCAGGCUGGCCUCGAACUCAGAAAUCUGCCUGCCUCUGCCUCCCAAAUGCUGAGAUUAAAGGCGUGCGCCAUCACGCCUGGCUGAUCUUUUAGUAUUUCAAA
rnacentral:lncRNA from 1 species